rnacentral:rRNA from 1 species
UACGGAGGGUGCAAGCGUUGUUCGGAAUUAUUGGGCGUAAAGCGCGUGUAGGCGGCUUGGCAAGUCAGUUGUGAAAGCCCGGGGCCCAACCCCGGAAUUGCAUCUGAAACUGCCUGGCUGGAGUCCCGGAGAGGAAGGCAGAAUUCCCGGUGUAGGGGUGAAAUCCGUAGAUAUCGGGAGGAAUACCAGCGGCGAAGGCGGCCUUCUGGACGGUGACUGACGCUGAGACGCGAAAGCGUGGGGAGCAAACAGG